rnacentral:lncRNA from 1 species
AGUUUCCAGGCCUCUCUCUGCCACAAUCCCUUCUCUGAUUCGCCUCCAGUGAUGCCCUCUCUACUCUGCCCAUUCGUCGUCCAUCAGCACCCUUCCUUUCCCACCCCAAGGUGCUGAGAACCUCCAGGGUAAGUGCCUCCCCUAUCUCUCAUCCUAUCUCUUUCCCUCUAGCCACUGGCCUUGGGAUGGGAGUGGGGGGAAGGGGGGAUUAGAAGCAGGAAAUCUCUUGGAUGGGGUAUCAUGUAGCUAGUUGAAUCUUGCCCCCAGGGUUUCCAAAUGUAGGACAAGAGGUAGCUGCCUGGAGUGGUAAGAAGGAGAUUUAGGGAUGUUAGCACUUGCCACCUAAUUGUCAAGGUGGGCUGUUCACAGACAUGUGUUCUUCCCUUGAGUUGUGGACAACAGGGAGAAAAUGUAAACGAAUAGGGAGAAAAUGCACUAUCUCAGCAGCUGGCUUCAGAAUUUCUCCUAUCUUGAUGAACCAGCCUGAUGUGAAGAGUUGAGCAGGAAGGUUAGGCCCCAGGAAAGUUAUGGAAGGAAAAAAUAGAACGAAGAGAGGGCUAUACAAAACAAUGAAACUGUAAUACUUUUUGCUAGUGAGGAUGGGGAUAGAGUGUUGAGCUACCAGGUAGUAGAUCUCAGUUGAUGGAAAAAAUGUUUAUGUCAUAUCAUUUUUAACUGUUUUAUUUGUUUGCACUGGUAUGAUGUAAACUCCUCUAUUUAAGUAAAGGGCAUAAAGUACAUAUGAAUUACAAUAAAGUACAUGUAAAGCCUCUGUGUGUGUGUGUGUGUGUGUGUGUGUGUGUGUAUGAAAAUCGAGGGAUCCUUCUGGAUUUUCUACAUUCAGGUCCACGUGUUAGAGAAAGCCCACAGCAGACAAUGAGAUGAUACACAUAUUGAAACACAGAGUCAAUAUGUCAAUGGGAGGAACUGGAAUUUGAUCAGCAAUAUCGAAAGGCAUACCUUCCUUAUGCAUCCAGAAUCCAAGAAGCAGAAGGUUUGCGAGCUCCUUCAGGUGGCAAUGAAAAGCAAUUCAUUUAAUGCUCAAAAGACAGAUUUUGUUUUUCUCUGAUGCCUUGGUUAAAUGAAGAGCACAUUUAGUAAAGUAGGGAGACAGGGCUGGGCAGCCAUUUACCUGGGUCUAGCAGUAUUACCUGGGAAAAGACACAAAUGGAAAGAAAAUGUAAACUUCUAUCAGCACUUUGACCCUACUGAAAGAGAUUGCCUUCUUUCACAAAAAUAUAUGGAUCAAAGGUAUAUGGAAUCAUCCAAAAAUGUUGUCAUGAACUUAAAUUUGACAAAAGCCAUACAACAUAUGAAUCCAACCUCUGGAACCAGUUACCUGGACUUGAACCCCCUUUACUUGUAAGUGACCUUAUGCAAAUUUCUUAACCUCCUUACGCCUCAGUUUCCUCUUCUCUAAACUGAGGCUAGUCAUAGCCCCUAGCUCAUAAGGUCCUUGAGAAGAUGAAGUGAGUUUGGGUGCAGAAAGCACUUAGAAUAUUUCUGGCACAUUCAAAACGUGCCAGAAUAAUAAUUCAGAAGUGAACUAGAAAAUUCAUGUACAUAUUUCAAUCCUCCCAACAAUUAAUUUUCAUAACAAAGGGACAAUAUCUUCUCAGCUGAAGACAUGAGACCAAGGAAAACAAGUAAAUUUUCUAAGGUCACACAACUGGUUAGAAGCAGAUGCCUUUGUGGGUCACUCAUUUCGUAAAUUUAUACAGCAAAAAUUGUAACUAUUGAUUACAGCUCACACAGGGAAUAGCGCAAUAUCUUAUAUGGCACUUAACUAGAAAUGGAAAUCCAAACAGGAAAUAGCUAUGUUACGUGCACUAGCUUAGACACACAGCACUUUAAAUGGGAAAGUGUGAAAUAUAGUGAAAGCCUUACAGUUAAUCUCUGAGCGGAAACCACACAGGAUAAGCAGUGUGGCUGAGCUAGCAGGGUCAGCAGAAGUCUAUAUUCUCAAUUUCUGGUCUUCAGUUGCUUGAAUUUUUUAAAACAAUAGUGAGAGUAUAAUUAGCAAAUAUUUCACAUGCUGAAUACAUUUGUAUUAGCUGAAAGAAAAGUAAUUUUUCUCCUUAAAGUUAUGCCUAUAGUAAAAGUUCCUUUUCCUCUUGGUAAGCAAUUUGGGCAAGCCUGGCUUACUGGCAGCUUUCACAUCCCCCUCGUGACUUACAGCCUGAUAUUGAUCUGGGUUCUGGGGGUGGCUGGGAGGCAGGACAGAAUCCUUCUUCAUGGAGCACCUCCUACUGCCAGUGUCAACCUGACACCUGGCAGCCACCGUCCCUUCCCAUCCCGCCUCCCAUCUUCGGAGGGUGGUGCUCUCAUCUUCUUUUUAGAGGUGAGGAAACCGAGGCACAGAAAGGUUAGGCAACUGACUCAUUUUCUCGCAGCUACUAAGUGGGGACACCAGGCUUCAAACCAAGGAUGGACCCCACAGUCCAUACUUCUGUGAUUCAUAAUUUGCCCCUGUUAGUUAAAGACGGAUCCACAUGAAAUUAAAUUCCAGGCCAGGCUGCUUUUGUAAAACUCAACUGAUGCAUGUACAUGUGUGUAAAAAAAUGGAAGUUCAGGUACUUUCAAGUAAUUUCUGGAUGGACAAACAGAACACGGAGAGCCCUUAGAUCUGAACGAACAGCUGACGAAGGCCUACGAUUAGGUCAGAUUGUUUCUCACGUGUUUACUCAACAAUCUUUGACUCUUUUCAAAGAAAUUCACAGGCUCUAAUCUCUUAAACCAGUGGUUCUCUUACUUUUCACACGUGAAAAGGCAUGGCACGUGAACAUUUCAACGCAUCUCCAAAGGAACAAUUCUGCAUGUUCCUCUCUUUUUUAUCCUUUCUUUUUUUCUGUGCUGCUCCUUUCUGUGCUCCGUUUCCAUCAAUAGAACUAGUUUACUCAAAGUUGCCCAGACUCAGGGCCUCAGGGCCAUUACAGUGCCAGCCUCAUGCUCUAUGAUUUCUCUCAGACCUGUCUCUCUUCUCCAUCCGUAGUGACUUCCGAACUAUCAUCUGUCAAUUUGGUUCCCUGCCUCUUUUCUCUUUUUCCUAUAAUCUUUUAUUUUCACUUCUGCCAGAUGAGUCUCCCCAAAUACAGUUUAUUUUUAUUUUUAUUUUUUCCAAAUACAGUUUAAAUACUAUCAUUUUAUUGUAACAGAACCUUAAAAAACUACCACUCCUCACUUGAGCCCCUAAUAAACCUUGUUGUUCAAUCCCGGCAAGCUUUGUACUACCUGUACCCGAUGCCCCAGCCAAAAUGUCACUGAGGACUGUGUUUCUCUUUACUCAUCCAUUCUGUAUUUGAUUAAAAUACUACCCUGCUCAUCCUUCUCCAAAAACUUGUCUCCUGAUUCUCAAUCAAAUGGAAUCGUUCUUCCUUUGGACCCUCUGUCAUAAAAUGAGCAGAAAUCGCUGUGUUGUGUUGUGAUUUCUAUUAUUAUCUCCAGUUCUGUGGUCUUUUGUCCCUCCCCUCCCCCACUCCCAUCUCCCAGUAAAUUAUCAUUUCCUUGGCGGUUGAGAUUUUGCAUCCCCUAUAGUUCCAGUAGGGUCUUUCCCAUGCAGUGGUAAUUGUAAUCGUGAUGUUGUUGUUGCUAAUGAAGGAGGAGGAGGAGGAGACGUUGCAGGAAAAGAUGGUUAGAGAGCUCAUUUGCUUCUUUAAUCACCCUGGUUGAACAGCUCUAACUGUUGAAAAGUCUUUUCCCAUAUUCAUCUGAAACCUGCCCCACUGAAAUUUGCCCCCAUAAAUAUUUAUUGAGUGACUACUAGGUGCAAAUUGCACCAUUUUAGGCACAAAUCACUCUCACUGAUUCCAAUACAGCCUGUAUGCGCACCUUCCCAUGAAGGGACCUUCUUCUCACACAUAAAGGAGGAAAAAUGCUGUUCCUAAGUCCACACUCUCAGCAGCUUCUCCAAGCUUCUCUCACUUCUACCCUGAGCUCUGCUUUCCAAGUCAUUUCUUGAAAGUAUCUCUCUACACUCAUUUCUGAGCUAUAACAUUGUAAUGGGGGUGCAUAGAGGGUUGCUGAGAGAUUUAUUGGAUUUUUUAUCAUAAUGCAUAGCAAAUUCCUGGGAGUCAGAGGUAGAAAGGCUUGUUUCGUUUACACAGAAAAAUGUAUCAGCCUCAUGGUUAAAUCUUAAAAUAUUUGAAGAUCACACCCUGUAUCCCAUAAAUCUUAUUUGGAAAGAUUUAUUUACUUUGGAAGCAAGAAGUGGAGAGCUAGGUAAAGGUUCGUAGUUAAAAUGUCAGGAGAUGGGCUUAAAAGGGGUAUAUUUAGAAAGAACACUCAUUUAUGUGGGAUCAAGUAGAUAAAUGACAGUCCAUCAUUACAGCAAUGGGGAAAGUGUUAUGAGUCGGAGUCCCUGAUGAAAUCAGACUUUGGUGGUACUCUUGCAUAGCUGGUGGAGAAACAGACCAAACUUUGGUCUCAUAGGUUAAUUGUGUGAAUCUGAUAUUACUACAGGUAGCGGCUUGCCGUGCAUGAUCUAUUUUGACACUGGGACCAGCCAAAGCCACUGAUGUCUUCCCAUCACUGACGUCUGUUACCCUCAUUGUCUCUCUCACAGAACAUGCAAUGACCUCCCAACCAGGGUCCUUAUCUCCAACUGCUCCUCUCACCAAACCGUCCCAUCUGACCCAGUGAGGCUAAUCUUGCUAAAAUGCAGCUCUAAUCAUGUUCCUGGCCCAGCUAUUCUGUUUCUUAAAUUGUCAACCUUAAACUUCAAUGUCCCCUCCCACCUUGUCCCUGGAGGUGACCCUAAGCUCCAGAUAGGGUUGACCACCCCUAAUUUUAUCUGUUAUUUCUAAUAUAGAUUUCAGUCCUAGUACCUAUAACAUUUUAUUUCUUUACAUCUCUCUCUUACUUCUAAGACUAUAGUUUUGCAUUUGUAUUCCCAACAUGUACCGCAGUGCCUAGCAUCCAAUGAAUGCCUAAUACCUUGUCUUAGGAACGAAUAUAGGAGAAAAUCUAGUCUCCCUGGUAUAGCACUAUAAGCAUUCCAUAAUCUUGGCUUGCCCUGUCUGUUCAGUAUGCCUCCUAAUGGCUGCUGUUCCUUUGCAAAAUACAAAGCAAACCUUUCCCUUAACAAGGCUUGAAUCUUCCCACUCUGAUGGGGAAAUUCUCUGUCCAGUCUGUUGCUUUCAGCUGGAUGGCUCUUCUUAAUUUCUCUGCUUGUUGAAACACUAUUCAUUUUCCAAGAGACGGUCCAGAUGUCCCUUCUUUAUGAAGCCUCCCCGUGCUCUGAUUGAUCUGUCACCUGGUUCAUCUGUCUUUGGCAGCAUUGAUCAGACACUUAUUUCAUGACCUCAUUCCCUUCCAUGUUCACCACCGCCUUUCGAGUUGGCAAUGGGCCACACUGGUGCUAAGAAAAUUGUGUGGAGUGGAAAUAAUAUGACUACAUGUCUUAAUACAAUAAGACUCUGCUGACUUUGCUGAGCACACAGCCCUGUCCCACAUGCCUGGAUCUUGCUACUGAAAAAGUGCUAGAAAAUGGCACUGAUGGCAUAAUUAGCACAUGAUCAGGUCAAAGUCUUUUCCUCUCCUAAUUUUCUCUGGAGGAGUAGUGAGCUGGGCUGAAGAGCCUAGAGUUUCCCAACCUGUGUCCCCACAGUGAUGUAUGGAGAGAGGGAUUCCUCUCACCCCUCAGAGUAUCUGGGCCGGGCUCAAAACACCCAAGCCCCUAGGCCUCUGGGUGUUAACCCAGUGUGGUUCAUGGACACUGCGUGUGUGUCCUGUUAUGAAAAAAGUUGGGAAGCACUGGCCGUACUUAGUCAAAUAGGGCAAGACCAUGAACAUGUGGGCACACACACACUACAAUGGGAAAUAUCUCCAUUUGGAUUUGGUGUCACCAAAUCCUGUAGGCACAGCAGGAAAAACCAGGAGGCUGGAGUCAGGAGCUGUAUUCCAAACCCAUCCGUUAUGUAGGUGUGACUUUGAGCAAAUCAUCUAAACUUUCUAGACUUCUCUUUCCUCGAGGAUUUUUUUCUUCACAGAUUUUUCUUUCUUUUUAAGCUGGCUUCCAUUGGGGUUAGGGAAAAGCCAUGGACUAAGCGAUGUCCACAUUCUCUUUCAAUGCUCAUGUCCUUGGAAUCUUUGAAAACCUGUUUCUUAUCAUUGUUGAAAGUAAAAUAAAUAACCUUUAGGCCACAACUAUUUCAUUCUUAGAACAGAUUGUUUUUCUGGUCUGGUCACUUGAUCGUUUGGUUUUCUGAGAAUGUAGAGCCUCUGGGUGAGGUAAAAGCUUUCAUGAUAUGGGUGUUAAAUCUAUCCAGGUGAAGGCAAAAGCUAUGGCCCCUCCUGGAAAAGGAAUGUGAACAUCUUUGGGGGGACAUCAAAUACCAUAGAUAUCAUUUUCAGGUGGCUUCAUUCUCCCCCUCCCAAUUAAAUAUGACAUGACUGUGAACUAACUUUAGAAAACUACAAUCCGUAGGUUUGUGUUAUUCAUUUAUUACUUCAACUGCUUAUAGUAACCAUACCACUGUUUGCCCUAAAACAGUCCAGGUUAGAUGACUUUUUGUGCAUCAGGUGAUCUCUACUAAUUAUUUUCCACACUCCCUUUCACUCUGCAUACUGAGUGCCUACUGCACCUUCUCUCUGCCAGCAGUCUGCCCCUUCCGGGCUGGGUUGGUAUAGAUUCACAGGUGACUCAGCUCAUUCAGAGAACUGGGUCAAAACAAUGUCCUGAAAUCUCUGUUUCUGAACCUGAUCAAAUGAAGGCGGUUAGUAGUAAACAAAGGAUGGUGGACUGUGGUUGAAUUGCAGAAUUUGAAAUCAAACCCCCUAGCCGAGAGCCCUGAUUCCACGUUGGAUAUGAAUUUUUAGAAGACUCUGAAUUCACGCUUUCUUCUCUGUGUUUGUGUAACUGUGGCUUAUAAAAGUUUGAUUUUUCACAUCAGGAAUUUUGUCGUUGGUGUGGCCCCUCACCACAUCUUGACAACAGAAGCCUCUUGCUGUGUCUGAAACCAGCCCUUGAGGCAAGAAUUCACUUGGUGAAUGAACGCACCUUUGAGGUGCAAGGCAUCUCCUUCACCAUUCACAGGCACGAUUUAUUCACUUGUUUCCACACACUGGCUUCUGUCUUCAUCCACGGAGCUAGAAAACAGGGUCUUGUUUAUAUAAAGGUGUUGUAAAAUGAAUCCAUCCCCACAAGGCCCCUUGGCCACAGGAAGGACUCCCAGACGUGCUCUGCACUGUAUAAACACACACUUUUCAUCUAUCCCUGGCACACCUUCUCCAUUUAUAGCCUGUGGAUUCCCUUCCCUGAUUCUGACCUAGUAAUGCUUCCUUCUUUACUUUAAAGUGUGAAUGGGUUUCUGGGCUCUUCUUUCUAUUAAUGCUUUACCAUGCCAGAGCAUGGUAAGGUCUUGUUUCAACACAGCCUUGUCUAAAGCCCUCGCUGACCCCAUCCCCCUACUGUGGAAAUAAGUUCUUCCUCAUCUCCUAUGACAUUUCUCCGUAACCUUUCUUCUUGCAUUUAUCACUUCUUAAAGUGAUCAAAGAUCUUCAUCUCCCCACCAGGGCUGGGACUGUGUAAGACAAGGGACUUGUGUCAGAUGUCAAAUUUAGGGGAAGGAGCCAAACCCCAGUGAAAGUAAAUCAUGUUGUUAAGGUGACAUUAAAAAAAAAAAAAAAAAAAGAAUUAGUGAAAAAAAUCCAUGAUUUUUCCAUUAACAAAAUAUCAACAUUUUCAAGAAAGAUGGGAUCAGUCUUUUUCCUUUUAUUCGCCCUUUUCCUUUCAGAUUUUUUUCUUUUGCCAGAGGGUCUGCUAUGGCCAAGCACUGUUCAUUGAUUCGGUGGUUAUUGGAAAUUUUGAUAUUUUGUUCAUCAUAGAUUUUUGCAUUCAUUUUGAGUUUUUAAAAUAUAUUGCAUUAAGGUGUUAUUUGUCUUGAUUCCUACGUUUUUGGCAUCCCCUUAAAUGUUGUGCUUCUGGCCACUGCCUCCCUUGCCUGACCCUGACCCUGGCUCUGAUCACCAUAGCAACCGGCACAGGCCUUUGCCCUCCGAUACACACUCAAUUAAUAUUUCAUGAAUGGGGGCGCCUGGGUGGCGCAGUCGGUUAAGCGUCCGACUUCAGCCAGGUCACGAUCUCGCGGUCCGGGAGUUCGAGCCCCGCGUCGGGCUCUGGGCUGAUAGCUCAGAGCCUGGAGCCUAUUUCCGAUUCUGUGUCUCCCUCUCUCUCUGCCCCUCCCCCGUUCAUGCUCUGUCUCUCUCUGUCCCAAAAAUAAAUAAACGUUGAAAAAAAAAAUAUUUCAUGAAUGAAUGAAUGAAUGAAUGAAUACUAGCAGAGAUAUCUUAGAUGCUCUUUUCUUUUCUUUUUCCUGAAGGUAAAAUGACACCUGACCCACAAUUUAGUAUCUACCAUGACAUCUACGUGGGGAAAUUAUAGUGGCCUGGAGUGACUGUCUGUAGUAGCCGUCAGCAUUGCUCCCGCUAAUUAAAAUCAUUGAUCCUGGACCCUUUCACUGUCACAGAGCACCUCCUCCAGUUUUGCUUUAUUUCAUAAAUAUAAGUGCUUCUCAAGAAGCUAAAUAGUCACAGGGCUACCAACUUAUCUUUCACCUUCUUCUAGUGAACUGCGAGCCACUGACAAUAAGAAUUACUUCUUUGGAAGUCCAGAAUAUUGGGAGCAGAGGUUCUGUAGAUGGGUGCAGUGAAGGAGUCUCAAUGCCUCCAGGAGGAGGAAGAUGGCAGAGGGCUGGAAGACCAAACAUCAGGGAGUCUGCUCCUCCGACGAUACUACCCAGUACGCAGUGGCCCAGAAAGUGAAGUUUUCCUUCAUUACAAUAUCACAGACACAUAGGAGAGGUUCCCCUUUCUGGGGGGGAGAAAGACACAGAUCCUGUAGGUGUUGAGUCUGAGUCUCACAUAGGUUUCGAAGAGUAUGGUUGACUCCUCACUAUAUUCAUCAACAUUGAUCUUUUUUUUUUUUUUUUAAUUUUUUUUUUUCAACGUUUAUUUAUUUUGGGGACAGAGAGAGACAGAGCAUGAACGGGGGAGGGGCAGAGAGAGGGAGACACAGAAUGGGAAACAGGCUCCAGGCUCUGAGCCAUCAGCCCAGAGCCCGACGCGGGGCUCGAACUCCCGGACCGCGAGAUCGUGACCUGGCUGAAGUCGGACGCUUAACCGACUGCGCCACCCAGGCGCCCCAACAUUGAUCUUUAAAAGACAAAAUGAUCAUUCACAAAUCUUCUCACAAAAUCAUCUCUAGGAAGUUGAGCCUGUCAUAACAAAAUUAUUUCUAUGUCCUGGUAGACCGCCCAUGAAAAUAAUGUUUUUGAUUUAGUUACAGGAAUUCUAUUCGGCAAACAGUGCUGUUAAAGUGUUUUCCCUGGGUUCUGUCCACACAAUAGUCGCUGUCCCUGGGAGGGUGGAUUUUAUUCUGUAAUAGUUACGAUGAUUUACACUUUUGUCCAGUUAUCAAAUGAUCGUUGACCUCUAUUAUCCUCACUCCUCUAACCCUAUGCAGUCCAACUGUAAAAACAUUAAAUUAACUUUAAAAAAAAAAGAAAAAAGAAUAACCUAUCCCCCCCCCCCCAUCCCCAAUCCAGGAAGAAAGAAAGAAAUCCAGAAAUAAGAAAAUGAUUCUUAGAGAAUGCUUUUUUUGUUUCCCUGGACGUCUUCAAAUCAUUUAUUUUUCCACUUCGUUUUUUGGCUGUUCCAUGUGGACCGCCUGGAACUUCACUUCCGCUAUACCUCUGGAAGUUUGGGGAUCUGAGACCCGGCGAUGUGUUCCCUUUAACAACGCAUCUUACUGGAAGAGUGUUCAGACGCUUCCCGGAGUAUGGAGUGAGCGUCAGGAACACGCUGGGGUUCAAGUUCACGUUUCCUGAGGGCCUCGUGUGGGGCAGCCACCAUGCUUAGCAGCUUUCCCAGGUUGAUUUAUCUGAUACUUUGAAGAGUCUAGAGGGAGAACAGGUACGGCCAGGCUCAUGCUAAAGAAAUAAAAACCAAGGCUGUAGCAGGUCGUUAUGUGCCCAAGGCUACAAGACUAGUGAGGGGCGAGGCUGAGGCUUGGCCCAGGUCCCCUGCUUGUCAUAUUACAUACAAUUGCCUGGUUAUUGUCACAGAAGGGAAACACCACACUGCUUCUUCUCCAAGAGAUGCAGAGAAUAUGUUUAUCCAACCCAGUAUGUCAUGUGGUUUCCAUGGGGAAAAGAAAUAAUCCUAAGAGGCUUCAGACAUUAUUUUCACCUAUCUGAAGGGACAAGCACUACCUGUUCAGCUCUCUAGACCCUGUGUAUACCUUCCCUGGGAUUCCAUAUUUUAUCAGAGCAACUUCUCCCUUUUCAAAAAGUCACCGUAACUUCCAAAGAGGCUUACAAGUAAGAGUUUCUAGAUCACCUUGGAAGACUUUUGAGGGUAUAUGCGGACAUAUGUGUGUGUGUGCUGGGGGUGAGGGAAGAAUGUGUGGAACAUAAAUUGAAUGAUGCUGGGGCGCCUGGGUGGCGCAGUCGGUUAAGCGUCCGACUUCAGCCAGGUCACGAUCUCGCGGUCCGUGAGUUCGAGCCCCGCGUCAGGCUCUGGGCUGAUGGCUCGGAGCCUGGAGCCUGUUUCCGAUUCUGUGUCUCCCUCUCUCUCUGCCCCUCCCCCAUUCAUGCUCUGUCUCUCUCUGUCCCAAAAUAAAUAAAAAACGCUGAAAAAAAAAAUUAAAAAAAAAUAAAUAAAUAAAUUGAAUGAUGCUGAAAAAUAUAUCCUGAUUUCUCAGGAUCAUAUUUUUAAAAUGUUUUUAAUGUUUAUUUAUUUUUGAGAGAGAGAGAGAGAGAGAGAGGAGAGAGGAAGCAGGGGAGGGGCAGAGAGAGAGGGAGACACAGAAUCCAAAGUAGGCUCCAGGCUCCGAGCUGUCAGCACAGAUCCCAACGUGGGGUUCAAACUCACAUACCGUGAGAUCAUGACUCGAGCCGAAGCCGGAUGUUUAACUGACUGAGCCCCAGGACCAUAUUUUUAAUAAACAAUCAAUCAAGUAUUCAUGGCUACAACUAUAAUGGAUAAAACAACUGAAGUUAAAAACAGUCUAGGAGAAGUAAGACAGAAUAGCAUGGCACAGUGGUCAAAUGUGUUGGCUCUUCAGGUUGCUCGAUGUAUUCCAGUUCUGCUACUUACUGGUUAUGUGACAUUAACUGUUACUUAAAAACGAACAGUGGGGCACCUGGGUGGCUCAGUCUGUUAAGCGUUUGGACUUUGGCUCAGGUCAUGAUCUCAUGGUUCAUGGGUUCCAGCCCCGCGUUGGGCUCUGUGCUGACAGCUCAGAGCCUGGAGCCUGCUUAGGAUUUGGUGUUUCCCUGUCUCUCUGCCCCUCCCCUAUUUGCACUCUGUGUCUGUCUCUGUCUCUCUGAAAAAUGAACAAACAUUAAAACAAUGUUUUAAAAGACUGGAAUUAAAAACACAGUUUAAAAAAGUAACCAACCAACCGACAAGCAAACCCUGUGUGUUCAGUGUUCCUACCUAUACAAUGAGCGUAAUAACAGUAAGUAUGCAUAAGGAUGUUGAGAAGAAUAAGUGAGAAAGUGCAUAUAAGAUGUCUGACACUUUGUAAAAGUGUGCUAUUAUCAAGAGGAGAUAUAUAUAUAUACACGUAUAUAUAUAUGUAGAUAGAUAUAUAGAUAUAUAUAUACAUAUAUAUACGUAUACGUGUAUAUAUAUACAUAUAUAUGUAUAUAUAUGUAUAUAUAUGUGUAUAUAUGUAUAUACACGUAUAUACGUGUGUAUAUAUAUACACGUAUACAUAUAUAUAUGUAGAUAUAUAUAUAUAUAUAUAUGGCAUUUUGUUAGCCCCUUGUUGUAGAAUAAUCUAUUUCUCAGAUUUAAGACACUGGGAAAGUGUUAAUCACGGCAGAAAUUGUCAUCAGACUUAGAGAUAGAGCAGGCGAUUUUAUUAGUGGAAGUCAAUAUGACUCCAGUAACUCAGGAGCACACGGCCUACAAAGCAUGGGGAAGAGGACGUCCAGCCAAUAAACAGUAAUAAUUGCAACAUUGUUGGCAGCUGAGCCGCCGGAGCACCUAAUCGCCUUCAACAACGAAUUGGCGACUAACUGCCCAGUGGUGGCGGGUCGGCACUAACCAUACGAGAGGCACCAGCACAACCAGAAAACGCCCAGCAGAUGCCCCUUGCAGGAAAUGUAAUUAAAGUGGAAAGGACUAUACCAACAUUCCCACUGGGCUCUUGACUCAAACUGGAGAGGCAGAGCAGUGUGUGAAUUCUCCAGACCGGGAGGCUGGCGUGGAAACAGCUGACGCUGUGGGCCUCCUCGGAUCCUGCCGAGGGCCCUGUAGCUCUGUCAGCCCCCGAGUCACAGAGCACUUGCAGAUCAGCCCAAUUCUGGGUCAUGAAACAGGUGGGGAGCCGCAGAGCUCUGGGUCGUUUAAAGGAAAUGAAAGAUCACACACCUUCUGUAAUGAAACACCCUUCUAUCUCCUCAUGGCCACUAUUAUUUAGUCACUGAUAAUACAGCAAACUCUUCAGAAAUAAUUCAAGCAGAUAAGAAAUCAAGCCCCACCCUUUUAUGUUCUGAGGCCUUAGCAGUGGCUCCAACUCUUGGAAGGGGAAUGAAAUCUAUUACACAUCCUCAGCCCAUGAUUUUUUCCUACAAAUGCAUGAGACCCUAAACUUGGGAAGGUGGUAGGCAGUUCCACAGGGAGACAGUGUAAUGGGUGCCCGCCCUGGAGGAGCAGCUUCGGGUUUCAGAUGUGGUCUCCACGGCACUGGGCAAAUUGCUUCAUUCUCGGUUUUCUCGUUCAGAAAACUGAGGCUUAACAGCAUCUACCUCUUACAGUCCUUGUGCCUGGAACACUGUAGGCACUAAAUGAUUGUCAGCUAUAACGCCCAGUUUUUCAAGUAGUUAACGAUGGCUUCACUUACUGACAGGCUGACGAAUAAAUUUUUUGAAAAAAAAAACCAAACACAUACCAAUAAAAUGUGCAUUUCUCAUAACUAAACUAUCUAAUAGGAUAUAUACCCAGAGUGGGAUUGAUGGAUCAUAUGGUGGUUCUGCUUUUGAUGUUUUGAGAAAUGUCCAUACUGUUUUCCGUAGUGGCUGCACCAUUUUACAUUCCCACCAACAGUCCCAUUUUCUCCACAUCCUUGCCAAAACUUAUCUUGUUUUUUUUUUUUUUUUACAGUAGCCACGCAAACUAGUAUAAGGUGAUAUAUAUCAUUGUGGUUUGGUUUUGCUUUUUGUAUAUUAAUUAUAUUUCAAUAAAGUUGUUAAAAAAUAUCUUACAUUGUCCCUUAGACAUAAUAGGUUGCUAUUGACCCUUUGAUUGCUGUGUGAAAAGAUAACAUGUCUCUGAGUAAUUUCGACAGUCGACAUGUUGAAAGGAUCACAAAUAUCUACCUUUGGCAAGUACUUACAGGGAUCAUUCUAAAUACAUAUACCAGGGGUGCCUGGAUCGCUCAAUUGGUUGAGCAAUCGACUACAGCUCAGGUCAUGAUCUCAUGGUUCAUGAGUUCAAGCCCACAUUGGGCUCUGUGCUGACAGCUCGAUCCUGGAGCCUGCUUCGGAUUCUGUGUCUCCCUCUCUCUCUGUUCCUCUCCCGCUCAUGCUCUGUCUCUCUGUCUCUCAAAAAUAAACAUUAAAAAAAUAAAUAAAUACAUAUACCCACCAGAUGCUAUGAAUAGAGAGAGAUGGAACAUAGGUGGGACAUAGUCCCUCCUUCAUGGAACUUAAGUUAUGGUUAGACAGGCGGCGACAACAAAGCCUGAGAAGUGUUAACAUCAGAAACUCAGAGUGUGAGGGUGUCAUGUCCUGGAAGGAGAAAGAGAAAGCUUCCCUAAAUGCAGUGAAGUUUACACUGAAAACUGAAGGAUUCAAGGGUUAACUACACCUGAGAAGGCGCUCCAGGUGAGUGGGAGCAUCAGGUUCCAAGAUCUAGAAGGAAAAGGAGGCUGGAGCUGAGAGGAGCCGUCUCCUCCUGCCUGUAGCUACAGGAGAUGGCAAGGUGGACGGUGGCCAGAUUCUGGUGUAGGCUUGGAGGAACCUCAGAAGGUGAGGCUUGAUCCAGAGAAUGAUGGGGAAAUCACUGACAGGUUUCAAGUAGGGAAGUGAAAUGGUCUGAUCUGAGAUUAGGAAGCAUCAUUCUGGCUGUUCAGUGAGGCAAGAGGGAAUGUGGGGAUCCCGGUAGGAGGCAUAAAUGCCUCAUCUUUGAUGAUUCUGGCCCAGACUUGGGCAGUUUGGAAGCAAAGUAAUGGAUAGAUUGGAGACGAAUUUAUAUAUUUGGCUUCAAACUAAAGCUACUACCCACUCCCCGACACUGCCCAGAUAGGGAUGGGAUAUGUAGAAACCUUAACUUUUAGGCUGCCCUCUGCAAACAAUACCCAGAACAUAUUUAGAUUAGAAAAAAGAAGGGAACUGAUAUCCAAAGUGGAGCUAGGGGGUUGCCCAUGCCAAUUAUCUGAUAAUCUGCUUGACCCAUUGCUUCAGCUAACGAAGGGCUGUUUGCCCUCCUUCCACCCCAAUUAUGCUUAUCAUCAUGCUUACCAUCGCAGGGCCCCAGAGAAGCCAGAAAGAACUCAACACCAGUCCCUCUAGCCAAACAAUCAGCAAACGAAGAUAACUUUAAAGAGUGUCAAGCCCAACUUUAUGACUCCCUCAUAGGCACCAAGGGCAUUGUCUCAAGAGCCUAAGCCACCAGACAGGAUAACCCAGGACUGCUUGUCGGUUGACCUGCCGAGACCAACUAUGACUCAUCUGUUUACUGCAGAACGGAGGUAACGUGGGAUGCAAAGGUUGACAGCCACCUCCCGGGAGACCGUCGGACCUGGAAAUCAGGGCCCUGGGUUUCAACCGGAAAUGUUUACACUGGCACAGACCCAAGAUGGAUGGAGGGCCACGUCACGGAGAGCUGAGUGAGCACAUGCACACAUUUUAAGGGACCGGGGUCUUCACAGCUGACCGGCUGGUCACUCUCACCGCUGCGCUGAGCAGCCUGGAGGCUAGCGGUCAUCACUUACAUGUGCUCUGCUACUUACACUUGGAUUUAUAACCACACUUUCCCACGACCGCAUUUUCUUUCUUGGCAGAAGAUUAAGGGCAGCAAUAAUAAACACGUAAUAAUAG